UUGCUAAUACUGCUGAAUUUUUGCCAUAGCCAAGAAAAUUCUAAUAACAACCAUCUAAAAAUAGACCUACAAAGUAUUAAUAUGCAGACUAUUUCUGUCCUUUCAGAAUCGCUGGAUCAAAACAUUCGAUUGAUAUAUUCUUUAUAUAAUAGGAAGCAAAGUACGAUUUCCCGUAUUAGUUUUGGGGGUGGUUGGACCGUAAGGGUUCUGAAUGAUAGCGUCGUCUCGCUCUGAUCAAACGGAUAGCUCUGUCGUACACCGCGUGGCGCCGGCCGACGACCCCGGCCCGGUCGUUACCCUGCGACAGUUGCACCCUGCUACCCCGUACUACUCACCCUUGUUCUGCCGAAUCUUGGACCUGAGCCGCAUCGAACUGACAUUGACUCAGCGCUAGGGUUCAAUGACCCGUAGAACAUUUCCGUUUUCCGGUGUGACCUACCGAAUUUGAGGAUAUUGAUUGAAAAUGAGCAAAAGUCAUCGCUCUAAAGUAAUAUUAAGUGGCUGGACAGAGGCAAAUAAAUCUAUAAGUACAAUAUAAAAAGGAUAAACUGAUUGAAACACCGCCAGUCGACACGGGGUCCAAGGAUGAAUAUUGUACGAGUACUUAGAUAAUCUGUUUUCGGCGAUUUUGAGUUUCGAUCGUUAUGCUCGUAUCAAAUUCAAAAUCGCUUAAAACUGAGAUACAAUCCAUAGUCCAUAUAUUAAUUACCCCGACUCAUAAAUGCGAGAAUAUGUCUGUCUCCUAGCUUUUCUUGGUACAGUCGUUAAA